AUUGAACGCUGGCGGCAGGCCUAACACAUGCAAGUCGAGCGAGCGGCGGACGGGUGUGUAAUGUAUGGGGACUGCCCGAUAGAGGGGGAUAACUUCUGGAAACGGUGGCUAAUCCCGCAUACUAUCGGAUAACCCAUAUGGGCUUAGCUAGUGGGUGGGGUAAAGGCUCACCUAGGCGACGAUCGCUAGCUGGUCUGAGAGGAUGAUCAGCCACACGGGGACUAGGACACGGGCCAGACGCCUACGGAGGCAGCAGUGGGGAAAAUUGCACAGUGGGCGGAAGCCUGAUGCGGCCGUGGCGCGUGUAUGAAGAGGGCGAUGGGGUUGUAAAGUACUUAAAGCGGGGAGGCGUUAGCCGCAGAAGAAGCACCGGCUAACUCCGUGCCAGCAGCCGCGGUAAUAC
rnacentral:rRNA from 1 species